GGCAGCAGUGAGGAAUAUUGGUCAAUGGGCGAGAGCCUGAACCAGCCAAGUAGCGUGCAGGAUGACGGCCCUAUGGGUUGUAAACUGCUUUUAUGCGGGGAUAAAGUGCAGGACGUGUCCUUCAUUGCAGGUACCGCAUGAAUAAGGACCGGCUAAUUCCGUGCCAGCAGCCGCGGUAAUACGGAAGGUCCGGGCGUUAUCCGGAUUUAUUGGGCGUAAAGGGCAUGUAGGCGGUUAUGUAAGCCUGAUGUGAAAUCCUAGAGCUUAACUCUAGAAUAGCAUUGGGUACUGUAUAACUUGAAUUACGGAAGGGAAACUGGAAUUCCAAGUGUAGGGGUGGAAUCUGUAGAUAUUUGGAAGAACACCGGUGGUGAAGGCGGGUUUCUGGCCGAUAAUUGACGCUGAGAUGCGAAAGUGUGGGGAUCGAACAGGAUUAGAUACCCUGGUAGUCCACACCGUAAACGAUGUACACUAGGUGUUGGGGCAAGAGCUUCAGUGCCAAAGCAAACGCGAUAAGUGUACCGCCUGGGGAGUAUGCCCGCAAGGGUGAAACUCAAAGGAAUUGACGGGGGCCCGCACAAGCGGUGGAGCAUGUGGUUUAAUUCGAUGGUACGCGAGGAACCUUACCUGGGUUUGACAUCUAGUAGAAGGUCUUAGAGAUAAGGCUGGGUAGCAAUACCCUUCUAGACAGGUGCUGCAUGGCUGUCGUCAGCUCGUGCCGUGAGGUGUUGG
rnacentral:rRNA from 1 species